GCUGGGCGUGGUGGCUCACGCCUGUAAUCCCAGCACUUUGGGAGGCUGAGGUGGGUGGAUCAUCUGGGGUCAGGAGUUCGAGACCAUCCUGACCCAUAUGGUGAAACCCCAACUCUA
rnacentral:SRP_RNA from 2 species